rnacentral:tRNA from 1 species
GCCCACAUUGCUCAGUCGGUAGAGCAUGAGAUUCUUAAUCACAGGGUCGUGGGUUUGAGCCCCACAAUGGGCA